rnacentral:rRNA from 1 species
AUGAACGCUAGCUACAGGCUUAACACAUGCAAGUCGAGGGGCAGCAUGGUCUUAGCUUGCUAAGGCCGAUGGCGACCGGCGCACGGGUGAGUAACGCGUAUCCAACCUGCCUUACACUCUUGGACAGCCUUCUGAAAGGGAGAUUAAUACAAGAUGUUAUCAUGAGUAAGCAUUUUCGCAUGAUUAAAGGUUUACCGGUGUAAGAUGGGGAUGCGUUCCAUUAGAUAGUAGGCGGGGUAACGGCCCACCUAGUCUUCGAUGGAUAGGGGUUCUGAGAGGAAGGUCCCCCACAUUGGAACUGAGACACGGUCCAAACUCCUACGGGAGGCAGCAGUGAGGAAUAUUGGUCAAUGGACGAGAGUCUGAACCAGCCAAGUAGCGUGAAGGAUGAAGGUUCUAUGGAUUGUAAACUUCUUUUAUACGGGAAUAAACGAAUCCACGCGUGGAUUUUUGCAUGUACCGUAUGAAUAAGGAUCGGCUAACUCCGUGCCAGCAGCCGCGGUAAUACGGAGGAUCCGAGCGUUAUCCGGAUUUAUUGGGUUUAAAGGGAGCGUAGAUGGGUUGUUAAGUCAGUUGUGAAAGUUUGCGGCUCAACCGUAAAAUUGCAAUUGAUACUGGCAGUCUUGAGUACAGUUGAGGUAGGCGGAAUUCGUGGUGUAGCGGUGAAAUGCUUAGAUAUCACGAAGAACUCCGAUUGCGAAGGCAGCUUACUAACCUGUAACUGACAUUGAUGCUCGAAAGUGUGGGUAUCAAACAGGAUUAGAUACCCUGGUAGUCCACACGGUAAACGAUGAAUACUCGCUGUAGGCGAUAUACGGUCUGCGGCCAAGCGAAAGCAUUAAGUAUUCCACCUGGGGAGUACGCCGGCAACGGUGAAACUCAAAGGAAUUGACGGGGGCCCGCACAAGCGGAGGAACAUGUGGUUUAAUUCGAUGAUACGCGAGGAACCUUACCAAGUCUUGACAUCCUUCUGACCGGUACUUAACCGUACCUUCUCUUCGGAGCAGGAGUGACAGGUGGUGCAUGGUUGUCGUCAGCUCGUGCCGUGAGGUGUCGGCUUAAGUGCCAUAACGAGCGCAACCCUUGCCGAUAGUUACUAACAGGUUAUGCUGAGGACUCUGUCGGGACUGCCAUCGUAAGAUGUGAGGAAGGUGGGGAUGACGUCAAAUCAGCACGGCCCUUACGUCCGGGGCUACACACGUGUUACAAUGGGGGGUACAGAGGGCUGCUACCACGCAAGUGGAUGCCAAUCCCAAAAACCUCUCUCAGUUCGGCUUGAAGUCUGCAACCCGACUUCAUGAAGCUGGAUUCGCUAGUAAUCGCGCAUCAGCCACGGCGCGGUGAAUACGUUCCCGGGCCUUGUACACACCGCCCGUCAAGCCAUGGGAGCCGGGGGUACCUGAAGUGCGUAACCGCAAGGAGCGCCCUAGGGUAAAACUGGUGACUGGGGCU